rnacentral:rRNA from 1 species
GGACGAACGCUGGCGGCGUGCCUAACACAUGCAAGUCGAGCGAGGAGAUCCUCGGGAUGAUCCUAGCGGCGGACGGGUGAGUAACACGUGGGCAACCUGCCUCAUAGAGAGGAAUAGCCUUCCGAAAGGGAGAUUAAUACCUCAUAACAUUGCAGUUUCGCAUGGAACAGCAAUUAAAGGAGUAAUCCGCUAUGAGAUGGGCCCGCGGCGCAUUAGCUAGUUGGUGAGGUAACGGCUCACCAAGGCGACGAUGCGUAGCCGACCUGAGAGGGUGAUCGGCCACAUUGGGACUGAGACACGGCCCAGACUCCUACGGGAGGCAGCAGUGGGGAAUAUUGCACAAUGGGGGAAACCCUGAUGCAGCCAACGCCGCGUGAGUGAUGACGGCCUUCGGGUUGUAAAGCUCUGUCUUCAGGGACGAUAAUGACGGUACCUGAGGAGGAAGCCACGGCCUAACUACGUGCCAGCAGCAGC